GGAAGGAGAGCGGGGGAAGAGGCUGCUCCACCUCUAUGAACAGCUAUAAAGAACUAGUCUCGGCUUGAGGAUCAGCAGUACUCUGGAGCAACCUUGAUAUGAACUAGUGUAAGGAAUGUCACGCUGUUUGCUUAGCAAGCACCGCUUCCCCGUUGAUCAGCUCAACUCAAGACCACAAACGUGACCAUCCUCGUGAAGCGUUCCAACCCAUUGGGCCAUUGGAAAAAGGCCUUCUUCAACAGCACAAAGGGCGACACACAGGCUGAGGAGACCAGAGAGAGGACCACCGUCCUGCAGCCCUGCUGAGCUCCAGAGAGGCAGGAAGUGGAGGCGGGGCCAGGCCAGGGACUAACAUGAUCACAUCAACCCCAUUAGGAGGGUCCCACGUGGGGCCGGGCCGAGGGGGAGAGGGCAGCGCACACAAAGAGGUGCACUGUUCUCUCCCUCGGCUGGGUGAAAGAGCUGCCGCAUGCCAAUGUAAAAAUGAACUUAGGGGCUAAUCAGAGACAGCAGCCCCAUGCACUUUCCCACUGAAGUAUAGAUGAUGAUGCAUAUUUAAACUAUGUGGCCAGCGACUGUGGUUUCCUUUGGCAUAAUGCGUUGAGGGAGUGAGUGAGGCACAGCUGCAGCCAGGGGACAGAGGAGAGGUCUGGAGCUGAAGCUGUGGUGGGAGACCAGAGGGAAAACCCCACUGGGAUUGUUUGCAGACACACUGUACCUCCAGUAACUUUGUUCAGGGACGUAGUGUUCCAAGGCAUAGAAACACACCGUUAGUAGAAAAACAAUUCUUAGGAUUUGUGGGAUAUCAGAGUAGGCCUACUAUGUUAUUUCCCCUAUGCUUCUUAUGAUUAAAUAAGACAGAUGAGGAUCAUUUAUCUUUCGCAGUUAUGCUGGCUAAACAUGAAACCAGGGAAAAGGCACUGUUGUCGAGUAAUCAGUUAUGGUUUAAUAAAGCAAUCAACA
ensembl:lncRNA